ACGGGAGGCAGCAGUGGGGAAUAUUGGGCAAUGGACGAAAGUCUGACCCAGCGACGCCGCGUGAGGGAAGAAGGUCUUCGGAUUGUAAACCUUAGUUAUCGGGGAAGAAGAAAGUGACGGUACCCGAAGAGAAAGCCACGGCUAACUACGUGCCAGCAGCCGCGGUAAUACGUAGGUGGCGAGCGUUAUCCGGAUUUACUGGGUGUAAAGGGUGUGUAGGCGGGACUGCAAGUCAGAUGUGAAAACUAUGGGCUUAACUCAUAGCCUGCAUUUGAAACUGUGGUUCUUGAGUGUCGGAGAGGUAAAUGGAAUUCCUUGUGUAGCGGUGAAAUGCGUAGAUAUAAGGAGGAACACCAGUGGCGAAGGCGGAUUGCUGGACGACAACUGACGGUGAGGCGCGAAAGCGUGGGGAGCAAACAGGAUUAGAUACCCUGGAA
rnacentral:rRNA from 1 species